AUUGAACGCUGGCGGCAUGCUUUACACAUGCAAGUCGAACGGUAACAGGCCUUCGGGUGCUGACGAGUGGCGAACGGGUGAGUAAUGCAUCGGAACGUGCCCAGAGGUGGGGGAUAACGCAGCGAAAGCUGUGCUAAUACCGCAUGUGAUCUGAGGAUGAAAGCGGGGGACCAGGCAGCAAUGUUUGGCCUCGCGCCUUUGGAGCGGCCGAUGUCAGAUUAGGUAGUUGGUGGGGUAAAGGCCUACCAAGCCGACGAUCUGUAGCUGGUCUGAGAGGACGACCAGCCACACUGGCACUGAGACACGGCCCAGACUCCUACGGGAGGCAGCGGUGGGGAAUUUUAGACCAUGGGGGCAAGCCGAAUCCAGCAAUGCCGCGUGCGGGAAGAAGGCCUUCGGGUUGUAGACCGCUUUUGUACGGAGCGAAAAGGCUCUGGCUAAUACCUGGGGCUGAUGACGGUACCGGAAGAAUAAGCACCGGCUAACUACGUG
rnacentral:rRNA from 1 species